AUGUGGAAUGAUGAGCUUCAAGUUCAUGUGCAUACGGCUUCCUUCUAUGUUAUAUUAGCAAACGUUGUACAUAUUGCUACGGGUAGGGAUUUUGGGCUUGUUUGUAUCUAUGGUGAUCCAUAUCAUAGACAAACUGAUGUGAUUUGGGAUCAAAUUUCUAAUUUUGUGUAUGAUAAUCCUGGCAAGCCUGUAUUAUGUAUGGGAGACCUUAACGAGCUUUUGUAUGAUAUGGAUAAAAGUAAUGUUAAUGUGAAUCAUCGUCGCUUGCAUGCCUUU
rnacentral:rRNA from 1 species